rnacentral:misc_RNA from 1 species
AAGUCGUAACAAGGUUUUCGUAGGUGAACCUGCGGAAGGAUCAUUAACACGUAUCCAAACGUUAUUCUGCUCUUGUAACCCGCGAAGCUUGCAAUCUCUGGUAAAUCAUAGCCCGGAAAGUAGUUGAUUCAGAGACCUCUAGCCCGUGCAAACAUUGGAACAGUUACAAUCAACUGCGGUAGUUCUAUAGGCUUUGUUUCCCCAAGCAGUCAGUGUCUGAAAGGAUAGCGCUUCACGAUUCCUGUAGACCGUACACUCGGGCAGGAGCUAUGCCAAAGGGUCCCCAUGCCCCCUUAUAACCCCACAGUUAAUGU